GUAGUUUUCACAGAGAAUGGCGUAGGUCAUUUCACAAGGGUUUUCAUUUUCAGGUGCCCUUCCCACAGCAUCAUGGCUCUGUAAUUUGGAUCGCUUGUAUUAGCUCCACCACCUAGCUUUUGAUACUGAUUCUCUGUUUGCGUGGGUUUGCUCGGGGCAUUCUUGUUUUCCCAAAGAAACGAAUUACUUGACUGGCUAAGGUUUUCCCAUAGUAAUCCUGUUUCAUCCCUAAAGCAUGUGUGUUCAAUCAUAGGUCUUAACCAUCCAUCCUCAAAAUGUGGAGCACAAAGGCAACAUGUGGACCAUUUACUACGCACUUACAAUUUCAGCUACUAGGCUCACAUGAGGGUUAAAUUGGUUACUUUAUGCUGACAAAAAUGUAUUUUGAUGAAUUAAUAUGAUUUCAUUUUAGUUACCGUGGAUAUUAGCUAAAAAGUCUUAAUAAUGAAUGUGUGAGCGAGAGCCUUUCAUUGUGGAACAUGGACUUUCUGAGACUCAAAUGAGGAACAUUCCCCGUAAUGAGAUAUACUUGAGAGGUGGGGUGUGCUGGUGGCAACACCAUAAUCACUGUCAACAUAUAUUGCAUGAAAAAGCAUUUACAGCUCAGGUUGGGGUUGAAAAGCGCAUGAAAUAAAUCAGUUCUCAGUAGUCAACAUUUGGAAGAAACGCCAGGCAAUCCUUACCUAAACACCUUUCACUUGCCCUCAUUUUUGCCAAUGUAAGGCAUUAUUUGCUAUUCAGUGAUCUGGUCAGCAAUAAUGCGUACUUAAAAAGAAAAAGUGUAAUUUAGUGGUCUGCCACUGCCUCGAGCAGUUUUGUACUUACUAAACAACAUGGAGAAUAAACAGGUGAGUUUAACAUAAUGAAAAUAUUUAAAUGAAGCGAAAAGAAGAAAACGCAAGCACUGGCUCAAUUAUUAUGUUUUGCUGAAGCACUGAGACCUUUCAAGGUAUUAUAUACUUGAAGGGAGGUCUAGUUACCAGCACACGUUAUAACAGAGAAUGCAAGUCUUCGAACCGUGUGUGAAGUGGAUAUAGUAGCUGGCAGCGGCAGGUAGCACCUGAACAUGCAGGUUCUGAAUGCAUGCAGUCAGGAGAACCACAUUACUGUGCAGGCUGUGGAUAAAGCCAUUCACCUACAUUUAAACACCCAGCAAGAUCCUCAGGUGCGGUUAGGUACAUGCAAGUACACCUGGCAUUGGCAAUCGGAGAAGACCUUCAUCCGUAAAUACACGGCUCCAUCUCAUUGUCUAACAAAGAGAGAUACCCUUAGUAUACAACGGCAACUGAAUAACUGGGAGAAAAAGACAUAAGUGACAGACCUUCGCUCUUCAUAGCAAGUCCUUAGAAGCUCAGAAGGUACAGGAGGACAAGCAGCAUCAGUCCAUUCUAGUGGCUUGAAUUUAUGAGGAAUUAUCUCCUCUGUGCUGGCGACUUAUAUUGGUAACACUGGAAUAACUUCGAGGCUCUCUAACUUAACUCCUGAACUGAUACAGCAACCUCACACUCAACCAUCCAACAGGGCAGGCGAGUCCAGUACGAGCAGGACUAGAGGACAGCAAUACCCACUAACGGGAAAUAACGCAAAAGUCUAUCAGUGAUAAGAGGUACUGGAAGAAAAAAACGCCUUCAUGUAGCACGGUAACUUCAUGCAGCAUUUAGCUAAAAUGUGGUAAAUACACUAGUGGCGCCGCACAUUUCCUUAAGUUUGAGUCCAAAUUAUUGGAGCGAGUCUGGGAGUCUGUUUGCAUCACGAGGUGCCUCUACUUCACGCGCGCCUCGUUCGGUUUCUCUCCCGUUCUUCCUCACUCCUUCACGGGCUUGACUAUCACGUGCUCCCCGCGAGCCUCCCCCACCCCCACCGAGAGUAAAUCCGAAGUUUCCUGUUUGAGAGACAACGCCGAGCUCCGCAACAACAAGCAGUCUAACAUCCCAGUUAGCCGCUUUGUUUGUCAAAAAAAUGAUGACUGCGCUUCGUUGGAGUUGCAGCUUUUGACUUCAAUGCCUUUUUCGGGACUGUGACAGUUGGUACCGGUUUCUGACUUUGACAGUUCGGUUCGUUUCUUUGGAGUUUAAAAGGACAUCUACCUAGCAGAUGGAUGCUAGAAAUCUGGGAUAUUUAAAGCAGUUUUUGAUUCAGUUUGUCUAAACUGGACCUGGAAGUCGGGGAUAUGCUACUGGGAACUCGACAGUCCUCGAUAGCACCUUGGUUCCUUCCGCCAGCUGCGCUAUCAUGACCGAUGGCGAGAGGAGAGAACCCUUCAGCCCUGAGGUGCAAGUCCCUAUAGCAGUGACGGGCAGAUGCCAGCAAACGGUGGAAGAGGAGGACGAAGAGGAAGAGGGUGGCAGAGUCAACAGGAGCCUGGGAUCUGGGGGGUCCUCGGUCCAAGAGCGCACUCAGGACCUCGGCUCUCAGGAGGAGGAAGAAGAAGAAGAGCAGUUGCCCUACCCAGCCUUGGCACCCGUGGUCUUUUUUUGCCUCAAGCAGACAACUCGCCCUCGCAACUGGUGUCUCAAACUGGUUUGUAACCCAUAUCCUUUCAUAUCAAAGCAAUGCUUUCUGUUGGAUAUACACCACCAGAGUUGUGGAAACGCUAGUAUAAAUUAAUAUGAAAGAAUACCAUGUGCACACCAAUUUGAUUAUUUGUUGUGACUAAAAACAAAACGCUCAGUGUAAUGAUGCAUAUCUGUUAUGUAAAACUUGGUGCUAAAUCUUAAAACUACCCAAGCUUUCAGAUGAUCUCAGUUUACCAUGUACCACAUGGAAGUUUACAGAGUCAUUAAAAAAUAAUUGAAUAAAACAUUCGGCAGUAUUAUUCUUAGACUACCUUUCUAAGUAGAUUUUGUAAUGCCCGAGAAAUGGUUUAAAAAUCGAGGAAUUAUUUAUUUAAAAUCUACACUCGAUGGUGAUUCUACAAUAGGUAUUGAGGAGUCACAUCUGGCAAGCUGUCUGUUGCCUUCUCUUUAGCCAAACUUGUAUGUUAUGUGUGUGUUGGGGAGGGUGGUAUUAGCACUGUGAUCAAGGAAAAGCUUUAUCAUUCAGUUUAUUACUACAUUUCAAAGGCAAUACUGCUAAAUGAUCUGAGAAGUAAUGAAUGGUGUUGCACCCUUGGGGAAUUAUGUGCUUUGUUGCCAUAAAAAAAGCAGAAACCUUUUGUUCUUGCCAGCCUGUGUUGGUCAAUGCUAAUUGAAGUGCAUGUUUCAUUGGUAAAAGUUAAGAUUUCUUAAAGAAACUCGAUGUACAGUGGCUGACAAAAAUUUAAUUAUUUCACCUGGUGUCAUAGCACUAUGCAGUUUUUUGCAGGAUUCCCACCUGUAUGUUCAAACAUAUAGACUGUGACAAUGAAGCAGCUGUGUCAUUGUUUUACAUUACUGUAAAUAAGGGCCUCUGCAUUUACAUCUGCCAUUUUUUUGUAUAGCUAUAAGUGAUGAUGUUAUUUCUGAAAGAUGACUGCAGUUAGAAAGUAGUUACAUACAAUGCAGAAAGCUGUAGGGGAUCCAACAUUUAAAACUACAGUGUUUUUGGUCAAGAAGGUUACAUAAAAAUCAGAGCUGACUGGUUUAGGGAUACAUAUGAGCUUUGCUUGAAUGCUUGCAUUUUUAUUCAGUGUUUUUACUUGGCAUGCUACUUGGUUACUCAGAUGCUAAACUGAGGAAGAAUAAUGUCAUAUUUAGUACUCUGUGAAACAAUAGUAAAUGCAAUUUAUGUGCUUACUUAUAGCUGAAUAAUAAAAUAACAAAAAAAAAAAAA